rnacentral:lncRNA from 1 species
AUGGAUUCUCUAGUCUUAAGCAUUAAAUAUUCAGGGCACGCCCUGUGGCAAAGAGAACUUCCCAGGAAUCGGAAACAUAAGCACACAGGUCUGAAGCAGCUACUGUGCAACAGCCAGAAAGAUUCCAGCCCAGAAGCUGGAUUUUCUCUCUCUGAAACAGCUUCAGAACACAUGAGAAGGGGGGCAAAUGUGCAAUAUUUUCCACAUGUAUUAUUCUAAAGGGAUGUAUAAUAUAAAAUUUAAUAGUGAGGUAAGCGUUUGGUGAGAAUUUUAACCUGGAUGGAGCUGAUGAUAGUAAUUUAACCUGAGAUACGUUUCUAUGCAUUUAUAUAUUUGUUAGUUUAAUCAAAUUUCCCCUAUAAUUUAUAAAUUAGUUUGUUUCCAUUUCACUGAUGUGAUGGCAUCAACAAAGCUGAGAUUUUCAAUGACACAUGGUCCUAUUUGUUAAAAAAUGAGGUGAGAAAGUGCAGUGCUUUAACUUUCUAUUUACUUAUUCCUGAGGUUGAAAGAAAUGCUGCUGUAAGUAUUGUCAAACUAUUGUUAGAAGGCAUGAUCUAUAUUAUUAAUAGAAAGUCUAGAUAGAAGGAGGAGUUAAUUAUUUUACAUCCCAUAUCAGUAUUUCUAUGUUCAUAAACUAAAAAUAUUUAAUAAAAUGGUGUUAUGUCUAAUUUAAAAUAUCUCUGUUUACUCACAUAUUAUACUUUAUGUGGCAAAUCUUUCAGGACUAUGUCACUGAAUUAGAACUUGGAACUGAAAAUAAAAAAAAAACAACAAACAGAAAAUAAGGAAAAACAAUCCAGUUUAAGUUUACAACAUAUACAAACUUACCGCUUUAAGGUGUUCAGAUAAUAGUUAAAUUCAAUUUUUACCCAAGUCUCUAAGAGAAAUCUUUUAUUUUUAAAACCAAACAAUUGGGAAAGCAUGGUAACUAAAAUUUUAGUAAUUAUCUGGUUUGUUUGAUUGGUUUAGAGAACCAAUCUAUAUUAAUUAAGUGUAUAGUUUACUUUUGCAUAAGUGAGUUCACUCUCAUGUUGCUAGGCCUACUGAAAAAUAAUAUGCUACCAGCUGAAGAAUCUAGAGAAAAAAAGGAAAUUUGAUAAGCAAGUAGUUGAUUAUUUUCAAUUAAAUUAAAUUCAGUUUAGUAAAUGUAUUGAGCAGUAUUUAUGUGUUUGUGCUAAUGACAUUACCUAUUCACCCUAGGAAAAUAAUUAGUGGUAUCAUUGAAUCCAUUCAGCAUUUCCCAACAUAUUUUAUGCUCAGAUAACAAGUCAACCAGCUAAUUGCCCCUAUUCUUUUUACUUUGGCCUCUAUAUCUACAGCUUAAAAGAAAGACAGAAAAUGAUUUGUCUUUCUGUCUUUCUUAUAUUAACUGAAUUGAUAUAAUUGAAUUGAUAUAUCAAUUCAAUUGAUAUAAUUCAAUGAUUUAAAUAUUGGUCAAAUACAUGUUUUAAACAAUAAUAUGAGAGGAUUGUUUCAACAAAUUGGGAAUAGCCAUAAAAUAACUUUUAUAACUACUGUGUCUCUUGAAUUCCUUCCACAUGUACCUCAGUUACUAUUUAUGAAUAUUUAUGCAAAUAUAUAUAUGUAACAUUAGAAAAAUUUCUUUGAAAAUAGAAAAGGCUGGGGAUUCACAAUACUCAUUUAAAUGUUAUCCAUAGUUCAAUGAGUUUGUUUUACUUAAACAAAAAACAUAUCUUGAAUACAACUACACAUAGAAGAGUACAAAAGAAGUAUUUUU